AUGAAUCUUCUUGCUUGGAACUAUUGGGGCUUGGGGUUGGACCCGACAGUGGGCGAGCUCAGAGACCUGAUACGGUCUUACAACCCAGCGGUGGUUUUCCUUAGCGAGACGAAGAAAAAAGCAAGGGCAAUGGAGAAACUGAAAUGGAGUCUUGGUUUUAAGGAGGGGGUGGCGGUGGAUUUCAUUGGGAAAAGUGGCGGCAUAGCUAUGUGGUGGAGAGAUAGUGUAAGUAACUGUGAGACCGUGGUGUCAGUACUUUAUUGA
rnacentral:rRNA from 1 species